AACAACAAAAGUUCAAUAGUGAGAAAUCCAAAAAGAAGGAAGGUGAAGAGAAAAAAGAAAACAAAAUUAUUACAACUACAAAAAACAUGCGGCCAAGGAUGAAUUGGACUAAAGAGCUUCACCAACGAUUCAUAGAUAUUAUUGAGUCAUUAGGCCCUCAAAAAUCUACUCCGAGGAAUAUUCUUGAGUUGAUGAAAGUACCCGGACUAACAAGAAAGCAAAUUUCAGAUCAUUUGCAUAAGCAUCGUUGUUCUUC